rnacentral:misc_RNA from 1 species
CCAAGUCAGUGUAGAUCAUGUUCUCAAUUGUGCGAGAAAAGGUGGAAUGCUUGAGCUCUCAGAGGCAAUAAGAGAUUACCAUGAUAACAGUGACUUACCCCAGAUGAAUAAUGGGGGUUCCACAGAUGAAUUUUUCUUAGUCACGAAUCCUGAAUCUUCAGGAUCACCUCCGAAAAGGGCACCUCCACCCAUUCUGGUUUCAACACUGGCCCCUGUUAUUGCAACAGCCCCUGUUUUUGCACCA